rnacentral:rRNA from 1 species
UUCCGAAUGGGGAAACCCAGUGUGUUUCGACACACUAUCAUUAACUGAAUCCAUAGGUUAAUGAGGCGAACCGGGGGAACUGAAACAUCUAAGUACCCCGAGGAAAAGAAAUCAACCGAGAUUCCCCCAGUAGCGGCGAGCGAACGGGGAGCAGCCCAGAGCCUGAAUCAGUGUGUGUGUUAGUGGAAGCGUCUGGAAAGGCGCGCGAUACAGGGUGACAGCCCCGUACACAAAAAUGCACAUGCUGUGAGCUCGAUGAGUAGGGCGGGACACGUGGUAUCCUGUCUGAAUAUGGGGGGACCAUCCUCCAAGGCUAAAUACUCCUGACUGACCGAUAGUGAACCAGUACCGUGAGGGAAAGGCGAAAAGAACCCCGGCGAGGGGAGUGAAAAAGAACCUGAAACCGUGUACGUACAAGCAGUGGGAGCACGCUUAGGCGUGUGACUGCGUACCUUUUGUAUAAUGGGUCAGCGACUUAUAUUCUGUAGCAAGGUUAACCGAAUAGGGGAGCCGAAGGGAAACCGAGUCUUAACUGGGCGUUAAGUUGCAGGGUAUAGACCCGAAACCCGGUGAUCUAGCCAUGGGCAGGUUGAAGGUUGGGUAACACUAACUGGAGGACCGAACCGACUAAUGUUGAAAAAUUAGCGGAUGACUUGUGGCUGGGGGUGAAAGGCCAAUCAAACCGGGAGAUAGCUGGUUCUCCCCGAAAGCUAUUUAGGUAGCGCCUCGUGAAUUCAUCUCCGGGGGUAGAGC